GCAAAAUUUUAGAAGAGGCACAAAGGGAGAUUUCUGUAAAAGCUUUUCAGACAGUGGGCUAUGGCGGAUGCAGAAGCUAUUCAAACAAUCCUCCUCCCAAACCUGAGCUCUGGAUGACAGAUGAACGUCCUGUUGAAAACAUUUCCCCCAAGCUCACAACUUUUCUUCCUUCAACUGCUGAAAUAAAACUCCAUAAGGCUGGAACAUAUCUUUGUCUUCUUGAGGAUUUUUUCCCUGGUUUUAUCAAGAUAGAUUGGAAAGAAAAGAACGGCAAAACAAUUCUGAAAUCCCAGCAGGGAAACACCAUGAAGAUGAAGGACACAUACAUGAAAUUCACCUGGCUGACUGUAACAGAAGAGUCAAUGGAUAAAGAACACAAAUGCAUCAUCAAACAUGAUAGUAAUAAAGGAGGGGUUGAUCAAGAGAUUCUUUUUCCUUCAAUAAGCAAAGAUUUGGUGGCAGUGAUGGGAUCUGAACUGAACUUCCAGGGGCGUUCAGAGACAAGGAGACAGCCAGGGGAGGUAACUGUGAGCCCCUUGAGUUCACUGUCUUCCUCACCAUUUUCAAGGGCUGUAG